rnacentral:rRNA from 1 species
GUAGGGAAUCUUCGGCAAUGGACGAAAGUCUGACCGAGCAACGCCGCGUGAGUGAAGAAGGUUUUCGGAUCGUAAAACUCUGUUGGUAGAGAAGAACGUUGGUGAGAGUGGAAAGCUCAUCAAGUGACGGUAACUACCCAGAAAGGGACGGCUAACUACGUGCUAG